rnacentral:rRNA from 1 species
UACGGAGGGUGCAAGCGUUAUCCGGAUUUACUGGGUUUAAAGGGUGUGUAGGCGGGCAAUUAAGUCAGCGGUGAAAUCUCCGGGCUCAACCCGGAAACUGCCAUUGAUACUAUCUGUCUUGAAUAUCGUGGAGGUAAGCGGAAUAUGUCAUGUAGCGGUGAAAUGCUUAGAUAUGACAUAGAACACCAAUUGCGAAGGCAGCUUACUACCCGAAUAUUGACACUGAGGCACGAAAGCGUGGGGAUCAAACAGG